CAGGGGAGGGGGAGGAAGGCUCCCCCGCCCUUGUCCGCGGGGCUGCCACAGAGCCACAUCCCGGGGAGCGUGGCCCCGCCGCCUCCUGUCCCGCAGAACCCCCGUGGAUGGAGCUGGCCGGGCUUGGGCGAGUCGCCCAUGGACAUGCCACAGCAUCCCGGCAGCCACUCCAUAAAUGCUCUGCUUCCAUAAAAUCGGAAGUAUUUCAGUCUACCCUGAUCUCCCUAGGCUGACCAAGACAAAGGCCAGUUGGCCUGGCACAGAGCCUGCAGUGAAGCACACUCAUGGCUUCUCAUCUGUGCUGCUGGACACUCAUCUGCCCCUACAUUCGGUCUCUUGUAGCUUGAUGCUCAGCAUGACUAGUCUCUCAUUCCUACCUGUGCCUGCCAGUGAUGAGCCAGCUGCUGCCUGUCAAUGACAUGAUGCCCAUCAAAUAAACUGUACCCCCACGUCUGUAUUAACCACACUUUGUGAUAAAGAUAAAAAAUAGCUUGAUUUUUGAA